rnacentral:rRNA from 1 species
UACAGAGGUCUCAAGCGUUGUUCGGAUUCAUUGGGCGUAAAGCGCGCGUAGGCGGCUCGGAAAGUCGGUCGUGAAAUGCCGGGGCUCAACCCCGGGACUGCGUCCGAUACUCCCGAGCUGGAGGCAGGUAGGGGAGAUCGGAAUUCCUGGUGUAGCGGUGAAAUGCGCAGAUAUCAGGAGGAACACCGGUGGCGAAGGCGGAUCUCUGGGCCUUGCCUGACGCUGAGGCGCGAAAGCUAGGGGAGCGAACAGG